rnacentral:misc_RNA from 1 species
UCGCGGCUUAUCACCGGCAGUCUCCUUAGAGUGCUCAACUAAAUGGUAGCAACUAAGGACGGGGGUUGCGCUCGUUGCGGGACUUAACCCAACAUCUCACGACACGAGCUGACGACAGCCAUGCAGCACCUGUGUUCCGAUUCCCUUUCGGGCACACCCACCUCUCAGCGGGCUUCCGGACAUGUCAAGGGUAGGUAAGGUUGUUCGCGUUGCAUCGAAUUAAUCCACAUCAUCCACCGCUUGUGCAGGCCCCCGUCAAUUUCUUUGAGUUUUAGCCUUGCGGCCGUACUCCCCAGGCGGGGCGCUUAAUGCGUUAGCUACGGCACGGAUUCCGUGGAAGGAACCCACACCUAGCGCCCACCGUUUACGGCGUGGACUAC